AGAUACUCGAGUGGCGAACGGGUGAGUAACACGUGGGUGAUCUGCCCUGCACUUCGGGAUAAGCUUGGGAAACUGGGUCUAAUACCGGAUAGGAACCAUCUUUAGUGUGGUGGUUGGAAAGUUUUUUCGGUGUAGGAUGAGCUCGCGGCCUAUCAGCUUGUUGGUGGGGUAAUGGCCUACCAAGGCGGCGACGGGUAGCCGGCCUGAGAGGGUGUACGGCCACAUUGGGACUGAGAUACGGCCCAG
rnacentral:rRNA from 1 species